rnacentral:rRNA from 1 species
UACGGAGGGGGCUAGCGUUGUUCGGAAUUACUGGGCGUAAAGCGCACGUAGGCGGCUUUGUAAGUUAGAGGUGAAAGCCCAGGGCUUAACCCUGGAAUUGCCUUUAAGACUGCAUCGCUAGAAUCGUGGAGAGGUGAGUGGAAUUCCGAGUGUAGAGGUGAAAUUCGUAGAUAUUCGGAAGAACACCAGUGGCGAAGGCGACUUACUGGACA